rnacentral:misc_RNA from 2 species
AAGUCGUAACAAGGUUUCCGUAGGUGAACCUGCGGAAGGAUCAUUACUGAUUUGCUUAAUUGCACCACAUGUGUUUUUCUUUGAAACAAACUUGCUUUGGCGGUGGGCCCAGCCUGCCGCCAGAGGUCUAAACUUACAACCAAUUUUUUAUCAACUUGUCACACCAGAUUAUUACUAAUAGUCAAAACUUUCAACAACGGAUCUCUUGGUUCUC